rnacentral:rRNA from 1 species
AGCGAACGCUGGCGGCAGGCUUAACACAUGCAAGUCGAGCGGGCACUUUCGGGUGUCAGCGGCGGACGGGUGAGUAACGCGUUGGAACGUGCCCUCUGGUUCGGAAUAACUCAGGGAAACUUGAGCUAAUACCGGAUACGCCCUUUUGGGGAAAGGCUUGCUGCCGGAGGAUCGGCCCGCGUCUGAUUAGCUGGUUGGUGAGGUAACGGCUCACCAAGGCGACGAUCAGUAGCUGGUCUGAGAGGAUGAGCAGCCACACUGGGACUGAGACACGGCGCAGACUCCUACGGGAGGCAGCAGUGGGGAAUAUUGGACAAUGGGCGCAAGCCUGAUCCAGCCAUGCCGCGUGAGUGAUGAAGGCCUUAGGGUUGUAAAGCUCUUUUAUCCGGGACGAUAAUGACGGUACCGGAGGAAUAAGCCCCGGCUAACUUCGUG